rnacentral:snRNA from 1 species
GGAUGUGAGGGCGAUCUGGCUGUGACAUCUGUCACCCCAUUGAUCGCCGGGGUUGAUUCGACUGAUCUGGCUGGCUAGGCGGGUGUCCCCUUCCUCCCUCACCGCUCCAUGUGCGUCCCUCCCGAAGCUGCGCGCUCGGUCCAAGAGGACGACCUUCCCUGAUAGAGGAGGACCGUUCUUCGGUCAAGGGUAUACGAGUAGCUGCGCUCCCCUGCUAGAACCUCCAAACAAGCUCUCUACCUCCUGUUUAGAGGGAGGAAAAUCCUUGUAAG